rnacentral:rRNA from 1 species
AUUGAACGCUGGCGGCAGGCCUAACACAUGCAAGUCGAGCGGAUGAGUGGAGCUUGCUCCAUGAUUCAGCGGCGGACGGGUGAGUAAUGCCUAGGAAUCUGCCUAGUGGUGGGGGAUAACGUUCGGAAACGGACGCUAAUACCGCAUACGUCCUACGGGAGAAAGCGGGGGAUCUUCGGACCUCGCGCCAUUAGAUGAGCCUAGGUCGGAUUAGCUAGUUGGUGAGGUAAUGGCUCACCAAGGCGACGAUCCGUAACUGGUCUGAGAGGAUGAUCAGUCACACUGGAACUGAGACACGGUCCAGACUCCUACGGGAGGCAGCAGUGGGGAAUAUUGGACAAUGGGCGAAAGCCUGAUCCAGCCAUGCCGCGUGUGUGAAGAAGGUCUUCGGAUUGUAAAGCACUUUAAGUUGGGAGGAAGGGUAGUAACCUAAUACGUUGCUACUUUGACGUUACCG